CGAACGGUAGUAUGGUGCUUGCACUAUAUGAGAGUGGCGGACGGGUGAGUAACACGUAGAUAAUCUACCCUUGUGUUGGGGAUAGCUUAUGGAAACAUAGGGUAAUACCGAAUACGGUCUUAGAAUCGAUAGGGUUUUAAGAAGAAAGGUGCUACGGCAUCGCACGAGGAGGAGUCUGCGGUAGAUUAGCUAGUUGGUAAGGUAAAGGCUUACCAAGGCGACGAUCUAUAGCCGGCCUGAGAGGGUGAACGGCCACACUGGGACUGAGAAUGGCCCAGACUCCUACGGGAGGCAGCAGCUAAGAAUCUUCCGCAAUGGACGAAAGUCUGACGGAGCGACGCCGCGUGAACGAAGAAGGCA
rnacentral:rRNA from 1 species